AUAAAAAAGCACGGGAGCUUGGGAUUCACCAGGCUGAGAGGAUGGUACUGUGCCAUCGACCGUUGAACCUGAACUGGGUAAUGCCAGCGGAGGAAUGUCAUAUACGACACGAA
rnacentral:ncRNA from 2 species